GCCUGGGUGGCUCAGUCGGUUGAGCAUCCGACUUUGGCUCAGGUCAUGAUCUCGUGGUCCGUGGGUUUGAGCCCCACAUUGGGCU
rnacentral:tRNA from 1 species